AUUCGUGGCCUCGGGAGUCCCGGCAGCGCUUGUUGGCCUGGACUACGGUGGUGGUCUUGGGGCCGCGUGAGAGGAACUUCGGGGACCGGCUGAGUGCCUCGUGGCACCCGCUUGCUGCGGGCUGGAGAGGAGGCGCGCGGCCUUCCUUUUGACUCAGGCCGUGGCCGCCUUGUCGUGGGUCCUGUGUCUUUGCCGACGCGGGGCCCUCGGCCUGGAGCGCUGCCCACCCGCCUCCGAGCUGUGGCGAGCCGCUGCUCAUCCUUCUAAGACGCUGAACCUGCACCUCGUGGAGCUCCUACGGCUCCAUUACCGCAGUCAUCGCCCGGGGAGCUUCCCCCGAGGCUGCCCCUGGAGCUGGGGCUCUCACAAGGACUCAAGUGUUUCAGCCCCUUCCUGUCCCGCUCAUUCAGCCGGUCUGAACCAGUUUCAUGGCUUGCAACGCCAUUGUAACUCACUAAUCCCAAUUAUCAGUAUGUAGCUUGGAUCAAUUCCGUGAACCAGGGUUUCUGUCGAAUCUCAAACGUUAAGGGUCCAAAGCCAUGCUCCCUGUUUCCCCUCUAACCUGCUCCUUCACCACCGUUCCCUAUUUGAUGUAAACGGUACCAUUUUUACUCAGCUGCUCAGACUAAAAGCCGUGAGUCAGCCUUGCCCUGUCUUGCUUCCACAUCUGUUCUGACUACACCUCUCCGUUAUGUAUACACAAUAUAUCCUAAAUCUGACUUCUCAUCUCCAUUCCUACACUUCUCCCACAAGCCACGAUUACUCGGGCUGAAUUAUUGCAGUAGCCUUCUAAAAGUUGCCUCUGUGUCAACUCUUGCCCCCAGUACUUUAUUCUCAAUACAGCAGCCAGAGAGAUCUUCUUAAAAUCUAACUCAGGGCUGGGCGCAGUGGCUCACGCCUGUACUCCCAGUACUUUGGGGGCCCGAGGCGGGCGCAUCACCGGUCAGGAGUUCGAGACCAGCCUGGCCAACAUGGUGAAACCCCGUCUCUACUAAAAAUAUAAAAAAAUUAGCCAGGCGUGGUGGCGCGCGCCUAUAGUCUCAGCUACUUGGGAGGCUGAGGCAGGAGAAUUGCUUGAACCCAGGAGGCGGAGGUUGUGGUGAGCCGAGAUUGUGCCACUGCACUCCAGCCUGGGCGACAGAGCGAGACUCCGUCUCAAAAAAAAAAAAAAAAAUCUAACUCAGAUCAUGUCCUUCCUCUACUCACUCUACUGAUCCCAUGUUACACAGAGAGAAAACCAGACUUUGGUGUCUAAGGAUAUACAUGAUUUAGCUUCUCGUUCUGUUCCAGUCGCGUCUAAUUCAACCAGUACUUGAGCACUUUAUUCCAGUCUCUGCUCAAGCAUCACCUCCAGAGAUGACGUCCCUGACAGCCUUGUUUAAAAUAAUACCACUCAUCUCCUUAACUCAGCUUGUAUUUUCUUUAUAGCAUGUAUCUCUCUCAAGUAUGUCUGUUUAAUUAUUUGUAUGUAUCUGUCUCCUUCACUAGAAUGUAAACAUUUUGAGAUAGUGAUGUUGUUUUGGUUGCUGCCGUAUCAUCAGGGGCCUAGUAACAGCACGUGGCUCAGGGCAGCUGCUCAGUUAAUAUUUGCUGCAUGAAUGAACAGCAGGAUGAAGGCAGAGCACAGGCAGGACGGUGAGCUGAGUGAGCAAAUGGCGAGAAGCCUGGCAUCAUAAGAGAGGGACACAGGAGAGAGACAGAGCUCUGAUGGGGCUGGUGCACAGUGGCUACAAAGAAAGGUUUGGAAAUCCCUGUUUCAGUACAAGGUCCAUGCGAGGAAGUUGAAUUAUUUGUUUUUGUUUUUUUGAGACAGUCUCACUCUGUCACUCGGGAUGGAGUGCAAUGGUGCCAUCUCGGCUCACUGCAACCUCUGUCUCCUCUGUUCAAGCGAUUCUCCUGCCUCAGCCUCCCGAGUAGCUGGGAUUACAGGCGCAUGCCACCACGCCUGACUGAUUUUUUGUAUUUUUAGUAGAGAUGGGUUUCACCAUGUUGGCCAGGCUGGUCUUGAACUCCUGGCCUCAAGUGUUCACCUGCCUUGGCCUCCCAAAGUGCUGGGAUUACAGGCGUGAGCCACCGUGCCCGGAAAUUCUUUCAAGGCUAAAUAAUAUCCCUUUGUAUGGACAUACCAUAUUUUGUUUAUCCAUUUAUCAGUUGAUGAACAUUUGGGUUGUUUUCACUUCUGCUAUUAUAAAUAUCCAUGAGUACCUCUAUGAACAAGUUUUUGUGGGAACAUGUGUUUUCAAUCCUCCUAAGAAUGAAGUAGUUGAGCCAUAUGGUAACUCAGAGUUUAACUUUUUGAGGAACUGUCAAACUGUUUUCCAAAGCAGCUACACUAUUUUACAUUUCCACUGGCAAUUGUAUGAGGGCUCCAAUUUUCUCCACAGCCUCACCAACACCUAUUAUUGUCUAUCUUUUUUUGUUUGUUUGUUUGAGACGGUGUUUCGCUCUUGUUGCUCAGGCUGGAGUGCAGUGGCGUGAUCUUGGCUCACCGCAACCUCCGCCUCCCGGGUUCAAGAGAUUCUCCAGCCUCAGCCUCCCUAGUAGCUGGGAUUACAGGCAUGCACCACCAAGCCCGGCUAAUUUUGUAUUUUUAGUAGAGUGGGGGUUUCUCCAUGUUGGUCAGGCUGGUCUCAAACUCCCGACCUCAGGUGAUCCGCCCUCCUUGGCCUCCCAAAGUGGUGGGAUUACAGGCGUGAGCCACCGCACCCCGCCAUUUGUGUAUCUUUUUGAGACAGGGUGCCACUCUGUCAUCCAGGCUGGAAUGCAGUGGCCCUAUCAUGGCUCACUGCAACCUUCCUGGGCUCAAGCAAUCCUCCACCUCAGCCUCCCAGGUAGCUGGGACCACAGGUGCAAACCACCAUGCCCAGAUAAUUUUUGUAUUUUUUUGUAGAGACAGGGCCUUGCCAUGUUGCCCAGGUUGGUCUCAAAUGCCUGGACUCAAGUGAUCCUCUCGCCUUGGCUUCCCAGAGUGCUGGAAUUACAGGCGUUGAGCCCCACACCCAGCUAAACACUUUUAAAUUGGGCAAUUUUUCUUUUUAUUGUUGAGUGGCAAGAGUUCUUUUAUAUAUUCUAGAUACAAGUCCCUAAUCAGAUCUAUAAUUUGUAAAUAGUCUCUCUUAUUCAGCGGAUUGGUUGUCUUUUCACUUUCUUGAUAGUGUCCUUUGAAGCACAAAAGUUUUUAAUUUUUAUAAAGUCCAGUUUAUUCAUUUUUGUUGUUGUUGUUGUUUGCACUUUUGGUGUCAUAUGCAAUAAAGCAUUGCCUAAUCCAGGAUACAAAUAUUUACCCAUAAUGUUUGCUUCUAAGUUUUAUGUGUUAGCUCUUACAUUUAGGUCUUUGAUUUAUUUUGAGCCAAUUUUUGUCUAUGGUAUGAGGGGGACUUCAAAUCUUGCCUGAAAUAGAGAUGGGAUUAAGAAGCUUUCAGAUCAAACAGGAGAUGGAGUGAUUACAGGAGGAAGAGUGAGAUGCAUUCUGGAAAGUAAGCAAUUCAGUGUGGCCACAGCCUAAA
rnacentral:lncRNA from 1 species